rnacentral:rRNA from 1 species
UACGUAGGGCGCAAGCGUUGUCCGGAAUUAUUGGGCGUAAAGAGCUCGUAGGCGGUUUGUCGCGUCUGCUGUGAAAACCUAAGGCUCAACCUUGGGCUUGCAGUGGGUACGGGCAGACUAGAGUGCGGUAGGGGUGACUGGAAUUCCUGGUGUAGCGGUGGAAUGCGCAGAUAUCAGGAGGAACACCAAUAGCGAAGGCAGCUCGCUGGGACGGUACUGACGCUAAGGCGCGAAGCGUGGGGAGCGAACAGG